rnacentral:rRNA from 1 species
GUUGUUGCAGUUAAAAAGCUCGUAGUUGAAUUUCGGAAUCAAUGUUUCGGUCAUGCCGUUGGUAUGUACUGAUAUUAUUGAUUUCUCACCUUCUAAAGAACCGUAAUGCCAUUAAUUUGGUGUCACGGGGAAUUAGGACUGUUACCUUGAAAAAAUUAGAGUGUUUAAAGCAGGCUCACGCUUGAAUACAUUAGCAGGGAAUAAUGAAAUAGGACAUCCGAUUCUAUUUUGUUGGUUUCUAGGAUCGAUGUAAUGAUUGAUAGGGAUAGUUGGGGGCAUUAGUAUUCAAUUGUCAGAGGUGAAAUUCUUGGAUUUAUUGAAGACUAACUACUGCGAAAGCAUUUGCCAAGGAUGUUUUCAUUAAUCAAGAACGAAAGUUAGGGGAUCGAAGACGAUCAGAUACCGUCGUAGUCUUAACCAUAAACUAUGCCGACUAGGGAUCGGAUGAUGUUAAUUUUUUAAUGACUCAUUCGGCGCCUUACGGGAAAC